GAUGAAGAACGUAGCGAAAUGUGAUAAGUAAUGUGAAUUGCAGAAUUCAGUGAAUCAUCGAAUCUUUGAACGCACAUUGCGCCCUCUGGUAUUCCGGGGGGCAUGCCUGUUCGAGCGUCAUUAUAACCACUCAAGCUCUCGCUUGGUAUUGGGGUUCGCGGUUCCGCGGCCCCUAAAAUCAGUGGCGGUGCCUGUCGGCUCUACGCGUAGUAAUACUCCUCGCGUCUGGGUCCGGUAGGUCUACUUGCCAGCAACCCCCAAUUUUUACAGGUUGACCUCGGAUCAGGUAGGGAUACCCGCUGAACUUAAGCAUAUCAAUAAGCGGAGGA
rnacentral:misc_RNA from 1 species